rnacentral:rRNA from 1 species
CGCAUCUGUGCAUGCAGCAUAUCAAUAAGCGGAGGAAAAGAAACUAACAGGGAUUCCCUUAGUAACGGCGAGUGAAGCGGGAAGAGCUCAAAUUUGAAAUCUUCAAGGUUUUACCUUGACGAAUUGUAGUUUAAAGAAGUGUUUUCUGUUGAAGUUUUGGUAAAAGUUCUUUGGAAUAGGACAUCAUAGAGGGUGAGAAUCCCGUAUUUGACCAUUAUUUUCAGCUGUGUGAUACACUUUCAAAGAGUCGGAUUGUUUGGGAAUGCAGUCCAAAAUGGGUGGUAAAUUUCAUCUAAAGCUAAAUAUUGGCGAGAGACCGAUAGCGAACAAGUACCGUGAGGGAAAGAUGAAAAGAACUUUGAAAAGAGAGUUAAACAGUACGUGAAAUUGUCAAAAGGGAAGCGUUUGACACCAGUGUUGUUUUCUCGAAAAUCAAUUAAAAAGAGUUAGAUUUUGUUGUGUAUUGACCUUAACAGCUUGCAUUUCAAUUUUCUUGCUUUUUUUAAUGCACUUUUCGUUUAACAAGUCAACAUCAGUUUCUUUUGUUGUAAAAAGGUCAUUGGAAGGUGGCUUUCUUUUCGGAGAAAGUGUUUAUAGCCUUUGACUCCUGCAAUCGGAGAGACUGAGGUCUGCAGCGUAGAUCCUUCGGGGUUAGAUACAUUUGUGCUAAGUUAUAGCUUUUUAUAGACAACUUGUUGACUAUGAUUAGUCUUGUAGCUUACUCGCUUAUGCUAUUUUACCUACGCUUAGGAUGUUGACGCGCGUGUGUGCGUG